rnacentral:misc_RNA from 1 species
GUAGGCACUUUUAUCGGUUUACAAAGCUUAGCACAAAGCUGCAUUGCUUGGUGACCUUCAAGGGCCCUAUAUAAUGCCUCUGCCUUCCUCAGGACGAUAUAGUUUGCAUUGAGAAGGCUCAGCAGCAGUUCUCCACAAUCAAUCAAUAUGAAGUACUUCCUGGUUUUCCUGAUCGUCUGCGUGGCUCUGGCCGCUGCUUCUCCCCAGCUCAUCGCUGCUUGGCCAGGCUGGCCAGGAUAUGCUGGCGUCGUGCCCGCUACUAGGACCCUGGUAGCUGGUCCCACAGUGGUGAACCAUGGCGCUCGCAU